GGUUUUGGAAUUGACUGUUGACAACUGGGAGGCAGAGGAAGCCUUUAAGGGAAGAAUGUAACGACGUCGUUUUCACUUUCAUCUUUUGGAACUCUUGUUUUGGAUGGAAAUUGAUGGGCUCUUGUCCUGAAAGGGAAAUGGCAGAGAGAGCUGCGAAACUCAGAUGAUAGUCACGGGUGGAAGAUGAUAGAAGCAAAGAUAUGAGGAGUUGAUUUCCGGGACCCAAGCUCCAUUCACCAAGGCAAAAAUUCAGAGAGCAGCGUCAAAGGAAGGAUUUAGGCAGUUGACUCCAGAAACAAAGGGGGAAUGGGAUUUGAUAGAAGAGAGACUGAGAAGGAAAUGUGGGUUUCGGCUACAAAAGGAAUAAAAAGAAAGUUGGGAGGGGAGAGCGAAAACAGAGAGAGAGAGAGAGAGAGAGAAGAGAAAAAGGAAGGAGCUUUCGGGUUCCUUCUGGACACUUCUUCUUCGGGUUUGAGAGAGCGGAAAAUCUGAAACAGAGGGCUAUAUGCGUGAAAGGGGGAGGGCGCUUGAGUAACAAAAAAGGAGGGAAAUAGUGGAGGAAAACAGAGAAGAUUUCUGAGCAGAGGAGUGAAGCAAUGCCAGCAGAGAGAAGGGAAAGAGAAUUCCGGGAAAGUAGGAUUUUUGGAAAGUUUGAUUGUUGAAACAUGGUCACAUUAGAUUGUUGUGGAACCUUGCUGCUGGAUAUGGAGUGUUUCAAGCAAUCUUCUCAACCAGAUAGCUUGCCCUGAACAUGUUGCUGCUGCAAUGAACUCAGCCUCUAUACUAGACAAAGUAACAAUCUAUUGUUUCUUCGAUGUCCAUGACACAAACCCAAAACACAUCAGAAAAACAAAUCCAGAUGUACCUUUCCUAUCAUUCAAGUCACCUGAAAAAUCACUAUCAGAUAAUCCAAUCAAUUUUUUUGUGGUUUUAGCUGCAUAAAGAAUUUCAAAAUCAACCGUGUCUUUUAAGUAACCAAAAAAAAUUUUUGCAGCAGAGAGAUGAUUCUCAGUGGGAUUCUCCAAAUUAAACUAACACCAUACAUGAUGUCAGGUUUGGUUGUAGUUAGAUACAUCAAACUCCCUACCAUUUGCUUGUACAAGUUGGCAUUUAUCUUCUUCCCUUCUUCAUCUUUCAUCAACUUUAAACCAAAUUCAGUUGGAGUACAAACUGAAUUACAAUCCUUCAUUCUGAACCUGUCUAAAAUCUCAAGAAUAUACUUGUUUUGUGAAACAAAAAUGUCCACUAGUGACUGCAUAAAUUCUAUACUGAAAAAAUAAUGCAUUAAUCCCAAAUAACUCAUAUCAAAUUCAGUCAUCAUAUUUUUUUUUAAAUACAUCAAUCAUGACUUCAUCAUUCCCGGUAUAUAUCAAAUCAUCAACAUAUGAGUUUAUGAGGAAAUUUCAGAAAAUCUUUUUUAGCAAAAUAGACAUCUAUACGGCCAUACCAAGCUCUUGGAGCUUGCUUUAGUCCAUACAAAGUAUUUUUUAAUUUAUAUACCUUUUCUUCACUGUCUUUCUUCACAUAUAUAAGGAGUUGAUCAACAUAUACCUCUUCUUGCAGUUCACCAUGCAAGAAAGUUGAUUUCACAUCUAAUUGAUAAAUAAACCAUGAAUUUUGUGCAGCCAUGGACAACACCAAUCGAAUUGUAUCCAACCUUACAACUGGAGCAAACACCUCCUUAUAGUCAACUCCAAAUUCUUGUUUGUACCCCUUCACAACAAGUCGCGCUUUGUACUUGUCUAUUCUGCCAUCUUUGUUUAGCUUUGUUUUGUAAAUCCAUUUAACCCAAAUGGAUUUUUGCCCCUUCAGAAGCUCUACCAAUUCCCAUGUAUUGUUCUUUAAAUUUUUGAUAGCUUCUUGAAAUGUAAGGGGAUCAUAAUUUGCAAAUAAUGCAAAACGGGUGAGAAGAUCUUCAGAUUGAUUAAUUCCAAUUACCUCAUAAUCUGACAUCCAUGUUGGCCUUCUUCGAACACGAUGAGAACGCGAAUCAACUACUUUUUCAUUUUGCUCAUCCAUAGCUGGUUCAUUUUGGGCAUUUUCAGAGGCAACUUCUGUUAUAACAUGCUAUUACUUGGGCUGAUUUGCUUCUAAACCAUUUUCUCCAUUAAAGCUUGUUGGGAUUUGUUCUCCAGAAGCAAUUUUGUCCAAUCAUCAGAACUGAUUCUCAUUAAAAAUGUCUCGAUUGAUGAGAAUUUGCUUAGUGCUAGGAUUAUAAAGGUUAUACGCUUUUGAUUGAUCACUAACACCAAGAAAAAUGCAUUCUCUCCCUUAUCGUCUAGUUUUUUUCUUUUUUAAUCUGGAACAUGGGCAUAUGCAACACACCCAAAGAUUCUGAAGUGAUUUACAGCAGGCUGUUGUCCGUUCCAUACUUCCUCUGAAGUCAUGUUUUGAAGUGCAAAUGUUGGACUUCUAUUCAAGAUGUAAAUACUCCACUUGACUGCUUCAGGCCAGAAACUUUUUGGAACUCCACUGCUCGUCAAUAGACUUCGCACCAUGUUCAUGAUUAUGCGAUUUUUCCUCUCGUAAACUCCAUUUUGUUGGGGUGAAUAAGCUGCUGUAAGUUGUCUCCUUAUUCUAUAAAGUUUACAAAAAUUUGCAAAUUCAUGUGAGUUAUAUUCUCUCUCACGAUCUGAACGAAAAACUUUUAUAGGACUGUCAACUUCUUUCUCAACAAGUGCUUUAAAACUUUUAAAAGCUUCAAAAGAUGCAUUUUUUUCUGUAAAAAAUAUACUCAGAUUUUUCGAGUAUAAUCAUCAAUAAAUAUUAUAAAAAACAUUUACCACCAUUGGAUGUUGGAUUGAGGGGUCCGUAAAUAUAAGAGUACACCAGUUCCAACAUGUUCCUUGCUCUCCAUGACUUCCCUUGUGGAAAUGGAGUAUGUUGUUGUUUGCUAACAACACAUUAUUCACAAACUUGAGAAGGAAUGACAAGUGAAGGGAGACCCGUCGCCAU